rnacentral:lncRNA from 1 species
CUCAUUGUGCUGUUGCUCUGCUCCUUCUGGGCCUUGACUUCUAAGCUGGGUGUGUUGUCGCUCGUGGAGGCUCUGACUACCGAGAGCUUUCGUCCGCUGGUGGCUGAGGGAAGCUUGGCGACGGCAGGGAGGAAGGUAGCGGUCAUGGUCAUGGAUGCCAUUGCUUGAUAGUUGAUUGAAUCCUGCGUUUGAUCUCUUUCUCUCGGUUAAUGAGUUUGUGAGGUGAUGAAGGGGAAUGUGUUUAAGAAGUUGGGUGAUUUGGGUUUGUGGAAUUGUGGAGAAAUGAUAUCCAUUUCCUUAUCCAAAUAUGAUUUUCGUGCAAAUGGGUUAUUGCCACGUGUCAUGAUCUAUCUUUUGUAAAGAAGAACCAUAUAAUGAGAGGUUGGUUCUCGCAUAAAAAGUGUCACUAGAUACUUUUGUUGUCC